ACAAAAAAUAGUUUAAUUAAAAUAAUAAUUUUGGGGAUUAUUGAUAUUUUUAAAAGAAUUUUUUGUA
rnacentral:tRNA from 1 species